UGGGGAAUUUUGGACAAUGGGGGAAACCCUGAUCCAGCCAUCCCGCGUGUGCGAUGAAGGCCUUCGGGUUGUAAAGCACUUUUGGCAGGAAAGAAACGUCGCGGGUUAAUACCCCGCGGAACUGACGGUACCUGCAGAAUAAGCACCGGCUAACUACGUGCCAGCAGCCGCGGUAAUACGUAGGGUGCAAGCGUUAAUCGGAAUUACUGGGCGUAAAGCGUGCGCAGGCGGUUCGGAAAGAAAGAUGUGAAAUCCCAGAGCUUAACUUUGGAACUGCAUUUUUAACUACCGGGCUAGAGUGUGUCAGAGGGAGGUGGAAUUCCGCGUGUAGCAGUGAAAUGCGUAGAUAUGCGGAGGAACACCGAUGGCGAAGGCAGCCUCCUGGGAUAACACUGACGCUCAUGCACGAAAGCGUGGGGAGCAAACAGGAUUAGAUACCCUGGUAGUCCACGCCCUAAACGAUGUCAACUAGCUGUUGGGGUCUUCGGACCUUGGUAGCGCAGCUAACGCGUGAAGUUGACCGCCUGGGGAGUACGGUCGCAAGAUUAAAACUUAAAUGAAUUGACGGGGUCAUAGCUGUUU
rnacentral:rRNA from 1 species